ensembl:snRNA U6 U6 spliceosomal RNA
AUGCUUGUUUCAGCAGCACAUACACUAAAAUUGGAAUUAUACAGAGAAGUCCAAGGAUGACACACAGAAUUCAUGAAGUGUUUCAUAUUUUU